UCGCCUUGCAGCCACAUGUUACAUUUGGCUUUAAAUGUCAAUUUUACAUUGUUGUAAACAGCUUGCUUUGCCAUCCUACACCGAUGAUCCCUCGAUUGGAAAUAUACAUACUCUGCAUAUUUACCUCGAACAAACUUCAACUAUAUGCAAUGAAAAUAUUUCUAGAAUGCCAUUUGACGUUUCAAUCGUGACACUGGACAACGAAUGUCCACAUUAGAAAUGAAU
rnacentral:lncRNA from 1 species